GAUAACAGGCUGAUCUUCCCCAAGAGUCCACAUCGACGGGAAGGUUUGGCACCUCGAUGUCCGCUCUUCGCCACCUGGAGCUGUAGGUGGUUCCAAGGGUUGCAUGUCGUAGGUUCAAAUCCUACAGAGCGUGAUUCCAUCUAU
rnacentral:ncRNA from 1 species